UAGGGAAUCUUCCGCAAUGGGCGAAAGCCUGACGGAGCAACGCCGCGUGAGUGAUGAAGGUCUUCGGAUCGUAAAACUCUGUUAUUAGGGAAGAACAAAUGUGUAAGUAACUAUGCACGUCUUGACGGUACCUAAUCAGAAAGCCACGGCUAACUACGUGCCAGCAGCCGCGGUAAUACGUAGGUGGCAAGCGUUAUCCGGAAUUAUUGGGCGUAAAGCGCGCGUAGGCGGUUUUUUAAGUCUGAUGUGAAAGCCCACGGCUCAACCGUGUAGGGUCAUUGGAAACUGGAAAACUUGAGUGCAGAAGAGGAGAGUGGAAUUCCAUGUGUAGCGGUGAAAUGCGCAGAGAUAUGGAGGAACACCAGUGGCGAAGGCGACUUUCUGGUCUGUAACUGACGCUGAUGUGCGAAAGCGUGGGGAUCAAACAGG
rnacentral:rRNA from 1 species